UGCGCAGGCGGAUAUAUAAGUUAGAUGUGAAAUACCCGGGCUUAACCUGGGGACUGCAUUUAAAACUGUGUAUCUAGAGUUUGUCAGAGGGGGGUAGAAUUCCAAGUGUAGCAGUGAAAUGCGUAGAGAUUUGGAGGAAUACCGGUGGCGAAGGCGGCCCCCUGGGAUAGAACUGACGCUCAUGCACGAAAGCGUGGGUAGCAAACAGGAUUAGAUACCCUGGUAGUCCACGCCCUAAACGAUGUCUACUUGCUGUUGGGGGUAAAACCUGAGUAGCGAAGCUAACGCGAGAAGUAGACCGCCUGGGGAGUACGGUCGCAAGAUUAAA
rnacentral:rRNA from 1 species